UACGGAGGGUGCGAGCGUUAUCCGGAAUUACUGGGUUUAAAGGGUGCGUAGGCGGGUAAGUAAGUCAGUGGUGAAAUCUCCGGGCUUAACUCGGAAACUGCCGUUGAUACUAUUUAUCUUGAAUAUCAUGGAGGUAAGCGGAAUAUGUCAUGUAGCGGUGAAAUGCUUAGAUAUGACAUAGAACACCGAUAGCGAAGGCAGCUUACUACAUGUUAAUUGACGCUGAGGCACGAAAGCGUGGGGAGCAAACAGG
rnacentral:rRNA from 1 species